rnacentral:rRNA from 1 species
UUCCUUCAGGUUAGUUUUUGAAGGUAUUUUCUGCCCUAUGAUAAAAUUAAUUAAAUGGCUGCAGUAUUCUGACUGUACAAAGGUAGCAUAGUAAUUAGUUUUUUAAUUGAGGACUUGUAUGAAUGGAUAUAUGAGGGAUUUUUUUUAUUGAUUUAAUUUUUAUAAAUUUAUUUCUUGGUUAAAAAGCUAAGCUGAUUAAUUGGGACGAGAAGACCCUAUAGAACUUAAAAUUUAUUUAUUUUAAUUAAUUUUGGUUUUAUUUUAUUAUUUAAGUUUUAUUAAAUUUUUUGUUGGGGUGGUAGGUAAAUUUAAUUAACUUUAUUUUUUUAAUUCAUCUUGUAUGUUUUUUUGAUCCUCUUUAGUGAUAAUAAGAUAAGUUACCUUAGGGAUAACAGCGUAAUUUCGAUUAGGAGUUCUUAUUUAAAUUGGAGUUUGCGACCUCGAUGUUGAAUUAAGGUAGAUUUAAGGUGUAGAAGCUUUUAUAUUAAGUCUGUUCGACUUUUGAAACCUUACA